UAGCAUACUGAGUGGCAAACGGGUGAGUAUAAUGUGGGAAUCUGCCUUUUGGUUUGGAAUAACACGAGGAAACUUGUGCUAAUACCGAAUAAGCCCUUACGGGGAAAGUUUUAACGCCGAAAGAUGAGCCUGCACUUGAUUAGCUAGUUGGUAAGGUAAAGGCUUACCAAGGCUACGAUCAAUAGCUGUUCUUAGAGGAAGACCAGCCACAUUGGGACUGAGACACGGCCCAGACUCCUACGGGAGGCAGCAGUGGGGAAUCUUGCACAAUGGGGGAAACCCUGAUGCAGCGAUGCCGCGUGAGUGAAGAAGGCCUUUGGGUUGUAAAACUCUUUCGUCGGGGAAGAAAAUGACUGUACCCGAAUAAGAAGGUCCGGCUAACUUCGUGCCAGCAGCCGCGGUAAUACGAAGGGACCUAGCGUAGUUCGGAAUUACUGGGCUUAAAGAGCUCGUAGGUGGUUAAAAAAGUUGAUGGUGAAAUCCCAAGGCUCAACCUUGGAACUGCCAUCAAAACUUUUUAGCUAGAGUGUGAUAGAGGUAAGUGGAAUUUCUAGUGUAGAGGUGAAAUUCGUAGAUAUUAGAAAGAACACCAAAUGCGAAGGCAACUUACUGGGUCACUACUGACACUGAGGAGCGAAAGCAUGGGUAGCGAAGAGGAUUAGAUACCCUCGUAGUCCAUGCCGUAAACGAUGUGUGCUAGACGUUGGAAAUAUAUUUUUCAGUGUCGCAGCGAAAGCAUUAAGCACACCGCCUGGGGAGUACGACCGCAAGGUUAAAACUCAAAUGAAUUGACGGGGACCCGCACAAGCAGUGGAGCAUGUGGUUUAAUUCGAAGAUACGCGCAGAACCUUACCAACACUUGACAUGUUCGU
rnacentral:rRNA from 1 species